AUUGAACACUGGCGGCAUGCCUUACACAUGCAAGUCGAACGGUAACGGGCCUUCGGGUGCCGACGAGUGGCGAACGGGUGAGUAAUGUAUCGGAACGUACCUUUCAGUGGGGGAUAACGUAGCGAAAGUUACGCUAAUACCGCAUAUUCUGUGAGCAGGAAAGCAGGGGAUCGCAAGACCUUGCGCUGAUUGAGCGGCCGAUAUCAGAUUAGCUAAUUGGUGAGGUAAAGGCUCACCAAGGCGACGAUCUGUAGCGGGUCUGAGAGGAUGAUCCGCCACACUGGAACUGGGACACGGUCCAGACUCCUACGGGAGGCAGCAGUGGGGAAUUUUGGACAAUGGGGGCAACCCUGAUCCAGCCAUGCCGCGUGAGUGAAGAAGGCCUUCGGGUUGUAAAGCUCUUUCGGUCGGGAAGAAAUCGCAUGGGUUAAUACCCUGUGCGGAUGACGGUACCGGCAUAAGAAGCACCGGCUAACUACGUGCCAGCAGCCGCAGUAACAC
rnacentral:rRNA from 1 species